AUUCCAGCUCCAAUAGCGUAUAUUAAAGUUGUUGCGGUUAAAAAGCUCGUAGUUGGAUUUCUGUCGGUGAGUUGCAGUCCGGCCACUGUGCUUGGUACUUGUAACGCCACCGGCAUCUUCCUGGGGACUGUGUCUGCUCUUCACUGAGUGGCUCAUAAUCCAGGACUUUUACUUUGAAGAAAUAGGAGUGUUUCAAGCAGGCAUGCGCCGUGAACACGUUAGCAUGGAAUAAUAGCAUCGGACCUCGCUCCAAAGCUGUUGGUUUCUUGGACCGAGGUAAAGGUGAAUAGGGAUUGUUGGGGGCAUUCGUAUUUAACUGUCAGAGGUGAAAUUCUUGGAUUUGUUGAAGACGGACUACUGCGAAAGCAUCUGCCAAAGAUGUUCUCAUUGAUCAAGAACGAAAGUUAGGUGAUCGAAGACGAUCAGAUACCGUCCUAGUCUUAACCAUAAACUAUGCCGACUGGAGAUCGGGGGUCGUUAACUUUGUGACGCCCUCUGCAUCUUGAGAGAAAUCAAAGUCUUUGGGUUCCGGGGGGAGUCUGGUCGCAAGGCUGAAACUUAAAGGAAUUGACGGAAGGGCACCACCAGGAGUGGAGCCUGCGGCUUAAUUUGACUCAACACGGGGAAACUUACCAGGUCCAGACAUAGUGAGGAUUGACAGACUGAUAGCUCUUUCGAGAUUCUAUGGGUGGUGGUGCAUGGGCCGUUCUUAGUUGGUGGAGUGAUUUGUCUGGUUAAUUCUGUUAACGAACGAGACCUUAGCCUGCUAAAUAGGAUCCCCAACUUUCUAGUUGACGGAGGCCUUCUUAGAGGGACGUCGCGUGUCUAACGCGAGGAAGUGUGAGGCAAUA
rnacentral:rRNA from 1 species